rnacentral:sRNA from 1 species
GCCAGGCGUGUUUGGCGCACACCUGUAAUCCCAGCAACUCAGGUGGGGGCUGAGGCAGGAGGAUCAUGAGUUCAAAGCCAGCCUCAGCAAUUUAGCAAGGCAUUAAGCAACUCAGUGAGACCCUGUCUCUA